rnacentral:lncRNA from 1 species
GUUGUUUUGUUGCAUUUGCUGUGAUGUUAUUUAUGUGUUUGUUAAAUUUUAAAUCAGUUUGUAUUGUUAAGCCAAGAUAUUUAGUAGAUGUUUCUUGUUGCAAAGUGUGCCCAUGUAAGAUGUAGUCAUAUGGGAGAGGUGUUUUCUUUGUUGUUACUUGGAGGACUGAACACUUGUCCGGAUGGAAGGACAUGAGCCAGUCCUCUUCCCACUUUGCAGCUGCUGUUAGGUCUUCUUGUAAUUUUUUUGAGUCAUCUUUAUUUUUAAUGGUUUUGUAUAUGAUGCUAUCAUCUGCAAAAAGUCUAAGAGUGCCAUGUUUUAUAUAAUCAUUCAGAUCGUUUAUGUACACCAGGAAUAAGAUAGGACCAAGUACUGUUCCUUGAGGUACCCCUGAAGUGACAUGUAUUUGUUCAGAUUUGGUGCCUUCCAGUAAUACCGUUUGUG